AUUGAACGCUGGCGGCAUGCCUUACACAUGCAAGUCGAACGGCAGCACGGGGCAACCUGGUGGCGAGUGGCGAACGGGUGAGUAAUGCAUCGGAACGUGCCAUUGAGUGGGGGAUAACGUAGCGAAAGUUGCGCUAAUACCGCAUAUUCUGUGAGCAGGAAAGCAGGGGACCGCAAGGCCUUGCGCUCUUUGAGCGGCCGAUGUCAGAUUAGCUAGUUGGUGAGGUAACGGCUUACCAAGGCGACGAUCUGUAGCGGGUCUGAGAGGAUGAUCCGCCACACUGGAACUGAGACACGGUCCAGACUCCUACGGGAGGCAGCAGUGGGGAAUUUUGGACAAUGGGCGCAAGCCUGAUCCAGCCAUGCCGCGUGAGUGAAGAAGGCCUUCGGUUGUAAGGUACUCUUUCGGUCCGGGAACGGAAAUACGG
rnacentral:rRNA from 1 species